rnacentral:misc_RNA from 1 species
CACAUACCCUGAACUGAUUGAGAUUAUAUCCAAGUUGAAGGAUGGAACUGGAAAGCUAGCGGGCAUCGAUACCUCUAAUCUUUUGAUUGCCAAUUCUGGAAAUGAUUUGCCAGUUAUUGAUCUUACAAGUGUUUCACAAGAGCUAGCUUAUUUAUCUAGUGAUGCAGACCUCGUUGUAUUGGAAGGAAUGGGUCGUGCGAUAGAGACUAAUCUUUAUGCUCAGUUUAAGUGUGAUUCUCUCAAGAUUGGAAUGGUGAAACAUCCAGAGGUUGCUCAGUUUCUUGGAGGACGGGAGGACGGCUUUAUGAUUGCGUUUUCAAGUACAAUGAAGUUUUGAGUUAAUAAUUCUAUUUUUAUGUGUACUUUUAACCCAUUUGUUCGAAGCCAAUUAUUCAAUUUACAUAUACUUUAGGUCUUUAUCACCUAGAAUCUACAUCUGUGAACUCCAAAAGUCUUUCCUUCAAUUAAUAAAGGAGCACAAAAACUG